UACGGGGGGGGGCUAGCGUUGUUCGGAAUUACUGGGCGUAAAGGGCGCGUAGGCGGUCUGCUAAGUUGGAUGUGAAAACUCUGGGCUUAACCCAGAGCCUGCAUUCAAUACUGACAGGCUAGAGUUCUGGAGGGGAUAGCGGAAUUCCUGGUGUAGCGGUGAAAUGCGCAGAUAUCAGGAAGAACACCCGUGGCGAAGGCGGCUCUCUGGGACGGUACUGACGCUGAGACGCGAAAGCGUGGGGAGCGAACAGG
rnacentral:rRNA from 1 species